rnacentral:misc_RNA from 1 species
GAUGAAGAACGUAGUGAAAUGCGAUAAGUAAUGUGAAUUGCAGAAUUCCGUGAAUCAUCGAAUCUUUGAACGCACAUUGCGCCCCCUGGUAUUCCGGGGGGCAUGCCUGUCCGAGCGUCAUUGCAACCUUCAAGCGCGGCUUGUGUGUUGGGUCUCGUCCCCCGUGGACGGGCCCGAAAGGCAGUGGCGGCGUCCCGACAUGGUGCCCGAGCGUAUGGGAAACCUCUUCCGCUCGAAUCGGCCCAUGCGGCGCUGGUCGUAACCAAAUUUUUUUACCGGUUGACCUCGGAUCAGGUAGGGAUACCCGCUGAACUUAAGCAUAUCAAUAAGCGGAGGA